rnacentral:rRNA from 1 species
AACGUAGGUGGCGAGCGUUGUCCGGAUUUACUGGGCGUAAAGGGUGUGCAGGCGGGCUGUUAAGUGGUGUAUGAAAUCGCCGGGCUCAACCGGGCGAGGUUAUGCCAGACUGGCAGUCUAGAGAGCGAGAGAGGGACGUGGAAUUCCGGGUGUAGUGGUGAAAUGCGUAGAGAUCCGGAGGAACCCCAGAGGCGAAGGCGGCGUCCUGGCUCGCAUCUGACGCUCAGACACGACAGCAUGGGGAGCGAACGGG